GACGAACGCUGGCGGCGUGCUUAACACAUGCGAGUCGAACGGAAAGGCUCCAGCUUGCUGGAGCACUCGAGAGGCGAACAGGUGAGUAACACGCGGGGAUACCGCACUGCACACACUGAUAAGACUUGGGAACUGGGGCUCAUACUGGAGAUGAUCUAUCUACCUGUGUGGUUUGGUGGUAAGAGUGGCUGUGUAGGAUGAGUCCGCGGCGUAUCAGCUCGCUUGUGAGGUGUUGGACUGCCAAGGCGACGCCAGGUAGCCGGCCUGAGAGGUUGAUCGGGCACAUGGGGACUGAGAUACGGCCCAGUCUCCUACGGGACGCAGCAGUGGAGAAUAUUGCACAAUGGGCGGAAGUCUGAUGCAGCGACGCUGCGUGAGGGAUGCCGGCCUUCGGGUUGUAAACCUCUGUCAGCAGAGACGAAGCGUAAUUGACGGUACCUGCAGAAGAAGCCCCGGCUAACUACGUG
rnacentral:rRNA from 1 species